AUUCUGGCUCAGGAUGAACGCUGGCGGCGUGCUUAACACAUGCAAGUCGAACGGGAUCCCAGGAGCUUGCUCCUGGGUGAGAGUGGCGAACGGGUGAGUAAUGCGUGACCGACCUGCCCCAUACACCGGAAUAGCUCCUGGAAACGGGUGGUAAUGCCGGAUGCUCCAGUUGGAUGCAUGUCCUUCUGGGAAAGAUUCAUCGGUAUGGGAUGGGGUCGCGUCCUAUCAGCUUGAUGGCGGGGUAACGGCCCACCAUGGCUUCGACGGGUAGCCGGCCUGAGAGGGCGACCGGCCACAUUGGGACUGAGAUACGGCCCAGACUCCUACGGGAGGCAGCAGUGGGGAAUAUUGCACAAUGGGCGCAAGCCUGAUGCAGCGACGCCGCGUGCGGGAUGACGGCCUUCGGGUUGUAAACCGCUUUUGACUGGGAGCAAGCCCUUCGGGGUGAGUGUACCUUUCGAAUAAGCACCGGCUAACUACGUGCCAGCAGCCGCGGUAAUACGUAGGGUGCAAGCGUUAUCCGGAAUUAUUGGGCGUAAAGGGCUCGUAGGCGGUUCGUCGCGUCCGGUGUGAAAGUCCAUCGCUUAACGGUGGAUCCGCGCCGGGUACGGGCGGGCUUGAGUGCGGUAGGGGAGACUGGAAUUCCCGGUGUAACGGUGGAAUGUGUAGAUAUCGGGAAGAACACCAAUGGCGAAGGCAGGUCUCUGGGCCGUCACUGACGCUGAGGAGCGAAAGCGUGGGGAGCGAACAGGAUUAGAUACCCUGGUAGUCCACGCCGUAAACGGUGGAUGCUGGAUGUGGGGACCAUUCCACGGUCUCCGUGUCGGAGCCAACGCGUUAAGCAUCCCGCCUGGGGAGUACGGCCGCAAGGCUAAAACUCAAAGAAAUUGACGGGGGCCCGCACAAGCGGCGGAGCAUGCGGAUUAAUUCGAUGCAACGCGAAGAACCUUACCUGGGCUUGACAUGUUCCCGACAGCCGUAGAGAUACGGUCUCCCUUCGGGGCGGGUUCACAGGUGGUGCAUGGUCGUCGUCAGCUCGUGUCGUGAGAUGUUGGGUUAAGUCCCGCAACGAGCGCAACCCU
rnacentral:rRNA from 1 species